rnacentral:rRNA from 1 species
UACGGGGGGAGCAAGCGUUGUUCGGAUUUACUGGGCGUAAAGGGCGCGUAGGCGGCCACUGCAAGUCGGUUGUGAAAUCUCCGGGCUUAACUCGGAAAGGUCAACCGAUACUGCAGGGCUAGAGUGCGGAAGGGGCAACUGGAAUUCUUGGUGUAGCGGUGAAAUGCGUAGAUAUCAAGAGGAACACCUGAGGUGAAGACGGGUUGCUGGGCCAACACUGACGCUGAGGCGCGAAAGCCAGGGGAGCAAACGGG